rnacentral:rRNA from 1 species
UUGCACAAUGGGCGCAAGCCUGAUGCAGCGACGCCGCGUGAGGGAUGACGGCCUUCGGGUUGUAAACCUCUUUCGCCAGGGACGAAGCGCAAGUGACGGUACCUGGAGAAGAAGGACCGGCCAACUACGUGCCAGCAGCCGCGGUAAUACGUAGGGUCCGAGCGUUGUCCGGAAUUACUGGGCGUAAAGAGCUCGUAGGUGGUUUGUCGCGUUGUUCGUGAAAACUCACAGCUUAACUGUGGGCGUGCGGGCGAUACGGGCAGACUGGAGUACUGCAGGGGAGACUGGAAUUCCUGGUGUAGCGGUGGAAUGCGCAGAUAUCAGGAGGAACACCGGUGGCGAAGGCGGGUCUCUGGGCAGUAACUGACGCUGAGGAGCGAAAGCGUGGGGAGCGAACAGGAUUAGAUACCCUGGUAGUCCACGCCGUAAACGGUGGGUACUAGGUGUGGGUUUCCUUCCUUGGGAUCCGUGCCGUAGCUAACGCAUUAAGUACCCCGCCUGGGGAGUACGGCCGCAAGGCUA